rnacentral:lncRNA from 1 species
AAUAACUAGUUCUGAGGAAGUGCUGAUCCUAUCAUCUUCAGAGAACUUGACUAAUAUCACGCCAUUUCAGACCUGCUCAGGCUUUUGCCCUAGAGCCCUCCUUGUCAAUAUUGGAAAGAAAAGUAGUGUUGGUCACUUUCUCCUGGAAAUGAGGUGUUAGCGAUGGCUUAUUCCCCAUGGAAAAGGCCCCUAAGGUCUAAAUAUAAAGAUUCAGAGAGUAAAAGGAAUUACAUUCAAGGAACUGCAGCCAGUUUGGUUGGAUACGACAGAUCAAAGAGCAGCUUGCAGGACAGAAGGAAGUCAGAAGACACAGCCCUUGGUGCAGGCCCUGCCUGCUCCGUUUCUGUGGAAUGAGUAGGAGUUUGCGCUGGUUCAUCUCUGCUUUGAGGCUGCUCUGUAACCACUCACCACAGACAGGCCCUUGGGAGAAACUGAGCGAGUCCUUCCAAGCAGCCGGGGCUGAUGAGACACUUGCAGAUUUCUUGGGAAUUUGGAUUACAGCCCCCAACAGAAGGCCCCAGCUGUUCUUCAACUGAGCAAUCUCCUUCAAGGGCUUUUCCAAGCUGAGGAAUGCGUAAUGCUGUCUUUGUGUGAGCUAAUGGAACUUCCUCUUAGUACAGAGAGGGGGUAAAUGGGCCACCAUUGAGUGAAGAGGAAAUUCAAUAAACUGUGUUUUCCCAACUUUGUAAA